GCAUCCAUAGCUGAAUGGUUAAAGCGACCAACUCAUAAUUGGUAAAUUUAUCGGUUCAAUUCCUGCUGGAUGCA
rfam:Triticum aestivum genome assembly, contig: Triticum_aestivum_CS42_TGACv1_scaffold_327930_4BS